rnacentral:rRNA from 1 species
UCUUCGGAUGCUGACGAGUGGCGAACGGGUGAGUAAUACAUCGGAACGUGCCUGGUAGUGGGGGAUAACUACUCGAAAGAGUAGCUAAUACCGCAUGAGAUCUACGGAUGAAAGCAGGGGACCUUCGGGCCUUGUGCUACCAGAGCGGCUGAUGGCAGAUUAGGUAGUUGGUGGGGUAAAGGCUUACCAAGCCUGCGAUCUGUAGCUGGUCUGAGAGGACGACCAGCCACACUGGGACUGAGACACGGCCCAGACUCCUACGGGAGGCAGCAGUGGGGAAUUUUGGACAAUGGGCGAAAGCCUUGAUCCCAGCAAUGCCGCGUGCAGGAUGAAGGCCCUUCGGGUUGUAAACUGCUUUUGUACGGAACGAAAAGCCUGGGGCCAAUACCCCCCGGGUCAUGACGGUACCGUAAGAAUAAGCACCGGCUAACUACGUGCCAGCAGCCGCGGUAAUACGUAGGGUGCAAGCGUUAAUCGGAAUUACUGGGCGUAAAGCGUGCGCAGGCGGUUUUGUAAGACAGUGGUGAAAUCCCCGGGCUCAACCUGGGAACUGCCAUUGUGACUGCAAGGCUAGAGUGCGGCAGAGGGGGAUGGAAUUCCGCGUGUAGCAGUGAAAUGCGUAGAUAUGCGGAGGAACACCGAUGGCGAAGGCAAUCCCCUGGGCCUGCACUGACGCUCAUGCACGAAAGCGUGGGGGAGCAAACAGGAUUAGAUACCCUGGUAGUCCACGCCCCUAAACGAUGUCAACUGGUUGUUGGGGUCUUAACUGACUCAGUAACGGAAGCUAAACGCGUGAAGUUUGACCGCCCUGGGGGAGUACGGGCCCGCAAGGKUGAAACUCAAAAGGGAAUUUGACGGGGACCCGCACAAGCGGUGGAUGAUGUGGUUUAAUUCGAUGCAACGCGAAAAACCUUACCCACCUUUGACAUGGCAGGAACUUACCAGAGAUGGUUUGGUGCUCGAAAGAGAACCUGCACACAGGUGCUGCAUGGCUGUCGUCAGCUCGUGUCGUGAGAUGUUGGGUUAAGUCCCGCAACGAGCGCAACCCUUGCCAUUAGUUGCUACAUUCAGUUGAGCACUCUAAUGGGACUGCCGGUGACAAACCGGAGGAAGGUGGGGAUGACGUCAAGUCCUCAUGGCCCUUAUAGGUGGGGCUACACACGUCAUACAAUGGCUGGUACAAAGGGUUGCCAACCCGCGAGGGGGAGCUAAUCCCAUAAAGCCAGUCGUAGUCCGGAUCGCAGUCUGCAACUCGACUGCGUGAAGUCGGAAUCGCUAGUAAUCGUGGAUCAGAAUGUCACGGUGAAUACGUUCCCGGGUCUUGUACACACCGCCCGUCACACCAUGGGAGCGGGUCUCGCCAGAAGUAGGUAGCCUAACCGCAAGG